rnacentral:rRNA from 1 species
GAUGAACGCUGGCGGCGUGCCUAAUACAUGCAAGUCGAGCGAACAGACGAGGAGCUUGCUCCUCUGACGUUAGCGGCGGACGGGUGAGUAACACGUGGAUAACCUACCUAUAAGACUGGGAUAACUUCGGGAAACCGGAGCUAAUACCGGAUAAUAUAUUGAACCGCAUGGUUCAAUAGUGAAAGACGGUUUUGCUGUCACUUAUAGAUGGAUCCGCGCCGCAUUAGCUAGUUGGUAAGGUAACGGCUUACCAAGGCAACGAUGCGUAGCCGACCUGAGAGGGUGAUCGGCCACACUGGAACUGAGACACGGUCCAGACUACUACGGGAGGCAGCAGUAGGGAAUCUUCCGCAAUGGGCGAAAGCCUGACGGAGCAACGCCGCGUGAGUGAUGAAGGUCUUCGGAUCGUAAAACUCUGUUAUUAGGGAAGAACAAAUGUGUAAGUAACUAUGCACGUCUUGACGGUACCUAAUCAAAAAGCCACGGCUAACUACGUG